rnacentral:rRNA from 1 species
CCUGGUUCUCCUCGAAAUAGCCUUAGGGCUAGCGUCGGUUAAGAUAGUUUGUGGGGGUAGAGGACUGAUAGGGCUAGGGGUUCUAACGAGCUACCAAACCCUGUCCAACUCCGAAUACCAUAAACCGUAAACCGGCAGUCAGAUUACGGGGGAUAAGCUCCGUGGUCAAGAGGGAAACAGCCCAGAAUACCGUCUAAGGUCCCUAAUCACGCCUUAGUUAAUAAGGAGGUGAGAGUGCGAAGACAGCCAGGAUGUUGGCUUAGAAGUAGCCACCAUUUAAAAAGUGCGUAAUAGCUUACUGGUCGAGCAUUCUCGCGCCGAUAAUUAACGGGAAUAAGGCGUGAACCGAAGACGUAUCAUUAUACUUCCUGCGUGAAGUAUAUUGGGUAGAGGAGCGCUCCAUAGGAGAUACAAGCCGGCUCGUAAGGGUCGGUGGCGGCCUAUGGAGGUGAUUAUGCGGACACGAGUAGCGAUAAAGAGAGUGAGAAGCUCUCUCCCCGUAAGCAUAAGGUUUCCCGGGCCAGGUAACUCCGCCCGGGGUUAGUCGGGAGCUAAGACGAGGCCGAAGGGCGUAGUCGAUGCAAAGCCGGUUAAUAUUCCGGCACCACUAGAAACCGUUAAUCUGAUAGGAUAACCCAGGUAGCCAAGGUCGGGGAAGGCGUUAGCUGCCUCCUCCAAAUGCAAACGCCGUUGAAGGCUGGUGAAAACAGCCCGAGGCCGAAGCAUGAGUGCGAUCCGAGUGAAAUCGGAGAAGCGAUCACAGCUAAACUGGCAAGAAAAGUCCUGCAGGUAGGCCAAUAGUGCCCGUACCCCAAACUGACACUGGUAUGCGAGGCGAGUAGCCUAAGGGGCUCGAGAUAACUCUCGUGAAGGAACUCGGCAAAUUUGCUCCGUAACUUCGGGAGAAGGAGCGCCUGCGUAGGGGUGUUAAAGCCCUGAAAGGCAGCAUAAAAAUGGUCCCUGGAACUGUUUAUCAAAAACACAGGACUGCGCAAAGUCUGAAAGACGACGUAUGCAGUCUGACGCCUGCUCUGUGCCGGAAGGUUAGGGAAUUUGUCAGGGGGUUCGCCUCCAAAGCAAAGAACCGAAGCCCCGGUUAACGGCGGCCGUAACAAUGACGGUCCUAAGGUAGCGAAAUUCCUUGUCGGGUAAGUUCCGACCUGCAUGAAUGGCGUAAUAACAGGGGUACUGUCUCCACGAGAGGCUCGGCGAAACUGUAGCAGUGGUGAAGAUGCCACUUACCCGCGACUAGACGGAAAGACCCUGUGGACCUUUACUGUACUCUACUAUUGGGUUUUUGUGCUCAUUGCGUAGGAUAGGUGGGAGACGUUGAAGUUCCGGUUUUGGCCGGAAUGGAGUCACCGGUGAAAUACCACCCUUUGUGUACGAAAAUUCUAACUCCGAUCCCGUAAGCCGGGCGGAGGACCGUGGUAGACGGGCAGUUUGACUGGGGCGGUCCUC